GAGAAUUUCAGGACAGCCAGGGCUACACACAGAGCAACCCUGUGUCAAAAAAAAAAAAAAAAAAAAAAAAAAACCAAAAAAUAAAAAGAAGGAAAAUACAAAUGUGGUUAAAUGAUGGAUAGAACAUCCACUUAAAAAAAUAAAAUGAGGCUGCACGUGGUAAGGUACAUCUUUAAUCUUGGCAGUUGGGAGGCCAUCCUGGUCUGCAUAGCAAGAAUAAUCAAAGACACAUAGUGAGACCAACCCUAUGCUUCAGAUGUGGGUAGGGUAUGUGUGUGCACGCACUCAUGCUUGCAUGCUCAUGUACUGACUUGUCUAUAGGCCUAUCAUCUAGAGGCAUUUUAUCAAUAGAGAGUGUCCCUUCCGGAUUAUGUCUAGGUUUGUGGGAAAUUAAAAAAACAAAACAAAAACAAAAAAACAACACAGAUUUCAUCUCUUCAUCGGAAUAUCAAUGCCAUUUUCACCCAAGUUUUUAGUCUUGGUAUUCUCUUGGUCUUUUAUCAACCACAAAACACAUAGUAUCAGAAAUUCCCACUGUGGCCUGGAACAGACAGUAGUGCACCCCUUUAAUCUCAGCUCUGAGAGGUUCAGUUCCUAGCACCCAUAAGUGCCUCCAACCAUCUGUAGCUCCACUUUCAAGGGAUCUAAUGCCUCUUCUGACCUCCCCGGACUCUUGCAUGCAUGUCGCUCAUAUUCACAUACUCAGAAAAACACACAAAAUUUAAAAAUAUGCAUAUUUUCAAGUUGCCACUCUAUAGAGACAGAGUCUCAGGCAAGCAGAGUAGCACAUGGCUGUAGUCCAUCCUACUGAAGAAGCUGAGACAGCGGGAUGGUUUCAGUCCAGGAGUUGCAGGCCAGCUUGGGCACACAGUGGGAACCUAGCCUCACAAGAAAGGAAGUAAUGUGUGCCGUUCUCCCAUAAAUUGGAAAGCUGGUAGGUUACUCAGACCAAGUAGUUGGCACUGGAACCUGCGAUAGUGGUCUGAAAGGAGUCCUGCAUUUUUACUUUGUGAACUUAAAAACGCAGAUAACAAUGCCAACAUCAAUUGAUCACUGAACAUAUCCAGGGGAGCAGAGUAUUGGAGAUGAACCACUGAACUUAGGGAAGCUAAUGUGGCACAGAGCGGAUGUGGCAAGGGCUAAUGAUUCAUAAGCCAGCAGAAGAGGUUACACAGGAGACGUGAAAGAAACAAAAAACUCAAAAUAAAUGCACAUUGUUGGGCAUAGUAACACAUGCCUUUAGUCCCAGUACUCUAGAGUCAGUGUGAUUUAUGUGAGUUCAAGGCUGGCCUGGUGUACAUUAUGAAUUCCAGGAGUAAAUAGACUUUCUCUUU
rnacentral:lncRNA from 1 species